rnacentral:rRNA from 1 species
AUACCUACGGGACGCAGCAGUGAGGAAUAUUGGUCAAUGGGAGAGAUCCUGAACCAGCCAAGUCGCGUGAGGGAAGACGGCCCUACGGGUUGUAAACCUCUUUUGUCGGGGAGCAAAGCGAACCACGUGUGGUUCAUUGAGAGUACCCGAAGAAAAAGCAUCGGCUAACUCCGUGCCAGCAGCCGCGGUAAUACGGAGGAUGCGAGCGUUAUCCGGAUUUAUUGGGUUUAAAGGGUGCGCAGGCGGAGGUGCAAGUCAGUGGUCAAAUUGCGGGGCUCAACCCCGUACUGCCGUUGAAACUGCAU